AGAAUCAACGCUGGCGGCGUGCCUAACACAUGCAAGUCGCACGAGAAAGGGUAGCAAUACCUGAGUAAAGUGGCGCACGGGUGAGUAACACGUGAAUUAUCUACCUUCGAGUGGGGAAUAACUGAGAGAAAUCUUAGCUAAUACCGCAUAACACUUACGAGUCAAAGCAGCAAUGCGCUUGGAGAGGAGUUCGCGGCCGAUUAGUUAGUUGGCGGGGUAAUGGCCCACCAAGACGAUGAUCGGUAUCCGGCCUGAGAGGGCGCACGGACACACUGGAACUGAAACACGGUCCAGACUCCUACGGGAGGCAGCAGUGGGGAAUUUUGCGCAAUGGGGGAAACCCUGACGCAGCAACGCCGCGUGGAGGAUGAAAUAUCUUGGUAUGUAAACUCCUUUCGAUGGGAAGAUUAUGACGGUACCAUAGAAGAAGCCCGGCUAACUUCGUGCUAGCAGCCGC
rnacentral:rRNA from 1 species